AAGAAAACAAGAUAUUGACAUAAACCAAAAAGAAGUCCUAAGAUGGCAAAGAUUUCACGCAAUCAUCUUGUUCUUGUAGCCUUUUUCCUUCUUUGCUUUGUUUCCACUUGUGCUAGAGCAAGGACUUUGCGAGAGGCUAGCAACCACGGAGCAGAGAAAAAGGACCAAAAUGAUAUGUUUCCAUCAAAAGAAAAUGGUUUACCAGACGUGGAGGAAUUGGUUGGGAUGGACUACACUCCAGCGAGAAAGAAGCCUCCAAUCCACAACUAAAAAAAUGGAAAUUUCUGGUUGAGCUUCGACAAGAGUCUUGUCUAUACGAGUACUCAUCAUACACUUCUACUAUGGUUUUGAGCUAGCUAGCACAUACAGUUCAAUAUAUAGGAUCGAGGGACAAUUAUUGCAGUGUGUGUGUGUGUAUUAGGACAUGGUUAUUUAGGAGUGUUACUUGCAAAGAAUAUUGCACUAGGAGGGGUUUAAUUAGUCUAUGGAAAUUUGUUUUUUGUAAAUUAGGUUAUAAAUCAUGGCUUAAAGAGAACUAACAGUAACUUGAGAUACAGAAGUAUCAAUCAUGCUUGUAAUACCUUGGAUAUGAAAUCCAAGCACACUUUUAUUUUUUCUCC